AUUGAACGCUGGCGGCAGGCCUAACACAUGCAAGUCGAACGAGUGGCGGACGGGUGAGUAAUGUAUGGGAAACUGCCUGAUGGAGGGGGAUAACUACUGGAAACGGUAGCUAAUACCGCAUACCAUCAGAUGUGCCCAGAUUGGAUUAGCUUGUGGGUGGGGUAACGGCUAACCAAGGCGCAGAUCCCUAGCUGGUCUGAGAGGAUGACCAGCCACACUGGAACUGAGACACUGUCCAGACUCCUACGGUAGGCAGCAGUGGGUAAUCUUGCACAAUGGGCGCAAGCCGGAUGCCGCCAUGCCGCGUGUAUGAAGAAGGCCGUCGGGUUGUAAAGUACUUUCAGCGGGGAGGCGUUACCCGCAGAAGAAGCACCGGCUAACUCCGUGCCAGCAGCCGCGGUAAUAC
rnacentral:rRNA from 1 species